rnacentral:rRNA from 1 species
GAUUGAACGCUGGCGGUAUGCUUAACACAUGCAAGUCGAACGGAAACGAUACUAGCUUGCUAGUAGGCGUCGAGUGGCGGACGGGUGAGUAACGCGUAGGAAUCUACCUGAUAGUGGGGGAUAGCCCGAAGAAAUUCGGAUUAAUACCGCAUAAUCUAUUCGUAGUAAAGUGGGGGACUUUCGAGCCUCACGCUAUCAGAUGAGCCUGCGUAAGAUUAGCUAGUUGGUAGGGUAAAAGCCUACCAAGGCUACGAUCUUUAGCUGGUCUGAGAGGAUGAUCAGCCACAUCGGGACUGAGACACGGCCCGAACUCCUACGGGAGGCAGCAGUGGGGAAUAUUGGACAAUGGGGGCAACCCUGAUCCAGCAAUACCGCGUGUGUGAAGAAGGCCUGAGGGUUGUAAAGCACUUUCAAUUGUGAAGAAAAGCUAGUGGUUAAUAGCCAUUAGCCUUGACAUUAACUUUAGAAGAAGCACCGGCUAACUCCGUGCCAGCAGCCGCGGUAAUACGGAGGGUGCAAGCGUUAAUCGGAAUUACUGGGCGUAAAGCGUGCGUAGGCGGUUUAUUAAGUCAGAUGUGAAAGCCCCGGGCUUAACCCUGGGAACUGCAUUUGAAACUGGUCAACUAGAGUAUGGUAGAGGAAAGUGGAAUUUCUGGUGUAGCGGUGAAAUGCGUAGAUAUCAGAAGGAACAUCAAUGGCGAAAGGCAACUUUCUGGACCAAUACUGACGCUGAGGUACGAAAGCGUGGGUAGCAAACAGGAUUAGAUACCCUGGUAGUCCACGCCGUAAACGAUGAUAACUAGCCGUUGGGGGGAUUUACCCCUUAGUGGCGAAGCUAACGCGUUAAGUUAUCCGCCUGGGGAGUACGGCCGCAAGGUUAAAACUCAAAGGAAUUGACGGGGACCCGCACAAGCGGUGGAGCAUGUGGUUUAAUUCGAUGCAACGCGAAGAACCUUACCUGGUCUUGACAUCCUGAGAACUUUCUAGAAAUAGAUUGGUGCCUUCGGGAACUCAGUGACAGGUGCUGCAUGGCUGUCGUCCGCUCGUGUCGUGAGAUGUUGGGUUAACUCCCGUAACGAGCGCAACCCCUAUCCUUAUUUGCCAGCACAUCAUGGUGGGAACUAUAAGGAGACUGCCGGUGAUAAACCGGAGGAAGGCGGGGACGACGUCAAGUCAUCAUGGCCCUUACGACCAGGGCUACACACGUGCUACAAUGGGAAGGACAAAGAGCCGCGAAGCCGCGAGGUGUAGCUAAUCUCAGAAACCUUUUCGUAGUCCGGAUUGGAGUCUGCAACUCGACUCCAUGAAGUCGGAAUCGCUAGUAAUCGUAGAUCAGAAUGCUACGGUGAAUACGUUCCCGGGUCUUGUACUCACCGCCCG